UACGUAGGUGGCAAGCGUUAUCCGGAAUUACUGGGCGUAAAGCGCACGCAGGCGGUCUUUUAAGUUUGACGUGAAAGCUCCCGGCUUAACUGGGAGAGGUCGUUGAAUACUGGAAGACUUGAGGCAAUGAGAGGGGUGUAGAAUUCCCGGUGUAGUGGUGGAAUGCGUAGAUAUCGGGGGGGAAUACCAGUGGCGAAAGCAGCUCUCUGGGACGGUACUGACGCUGAGACGCGAAAGCGUGGGGAGCGAACAGG
rnacentral:rRNA from 1 species